rnacentral:lncRNA from 1 species
AGAUUCGAUGGUGGAAGAGAAUUUUUCUUACUUCCGUGAGUUUUUCACUGAGAGUAAAGGUGGUCUGGAGAGAAUGUGGAAUUUGAAAGAAGAACUAAAAUAUCCUUAAGGCAUGAAAGUUUAUCCUUUCACCAGAGACUACAAUUAAUAUUUCAAGGCUGAAUUAGAUCUGCUCACCUAAAAUGGAACAGAAGGCCGCAAGGAAAACAUUGUCG